GGUGAACGCUGGCGGUAGGCCUAACACAUGCAAGUCGAACGGCAGCACAGUAAGAUCUUGCUCUUACGGGUGGCGAGUGGCGGACGGGUGAGGAAUACAUCGGAAUCUACUUUUUCGUGGGGGAUAACGUAGGGAAACUUACGCUAAUACCUCAUACGACCUACGGGUGAAAGCAGGGGAUCUUCGCACCUUGCGCGACUGAAUUAGCCGAUGUCGGAUUAGCUAGUUGGCGGGGUAAAGGCCCACCAAGGCGACGCGCCGUAGCUGGUCUGAGAGGAUGAUCGGCAACACUGGAACGGAGACACGGUCAAGACUCCUACGGGAGGAAGAAGAGGGAAAUAUUGGAAAAUGGGCGCAAGCCGGAUCCAGAAAUACCGCGGGGGUGAGGAAGGCCUUCGGGUUGAAAAGCCUGUUUGUAGGGAAAGAAAAGCAGCAGGUUAAUACCGCGCUGUUCUGACGGUACCAAAAGAAUAAGCACCGGCUAACUUCGUG
rnacentral:rRNA from 1 species